GUCUACGACAAUACCCCUGAGAAAGCACCGGUUCUCGUCCGAUCACCGAAGUUAAGCUCAGUAGGGCGCGGUUAGUACUUGGAUGGGUGACCGCCUGGGAAUACCGUGUGCUGUAGGCA
rfam:Nematostella vectensis strain CH2 x CH6 NEMVEscaffold_1066_Cont34863, whole genome shotgun sequence.